GACGAACGCUGGCGGCGUGCCUAAUACAUGCAAGUAGAACGCUGAAGAGAGGAGCUUGCUCUUCUUGGAUGAGUUGCGAACGGGUGAGUAACGCGUAGGUAACCUGCCUUGUAGCGGGGGAUAACUAUUGGAAACGAUAGCUAAUACCGCAUAACAAUGGAUGACACAUGUCAUUUAUUUGAAAGGGGCAAUUGCUCCACUACAAGAUGGACCUGCGUUGUAUUAGCUAGUAGGUGAGGUAACGGCUCACCUAGGCGACGAUACAUAGCCGACCUGAGAGGGUGAUCGGCCACACUGGGACUGAGACACGGCCCAGACUCCUACGGGAGGCAGCAGUAGGGAAUCUUCCGCAAUGGGCGAAAGCCUGACGGAGCAACGCCGCGUGAGUGAUGAAGGUCUUCGGAUCGUAAAACUCUGUUAUUAGGGAAGAACAUAUGUGUAAGUAACUGUGCACAUCUUGACGGUACCUAAUCAGAAAGCCACGGCUAACUACGUGCCAGCAGCCGCGGUAAUACGUAGGUGGCAAGCGUUAUCCGGAAUUAUUGGGCGUAAAGCGCGCGUAGGCGGUUUUUUAAGUUUGAUGUGAAAGCCCACGGCUCAACCGUGGAGGGCUUUGGAAAAGGAAAAACUUGAGUGCAAAAGAGAAAAUGGAAUUCCUUUUGUU
rnacentral:rRNA from 1 species